UGGGAUAUAGCUCAGUUAGUAGAGUGCUUGCCUUUCAUGCAUAAGGCCCUGGGUUCAAUCCCCAGCACCACAA
rfam:Ictidomys tridecemlineatus contig008606, whole genome shotgun sequence.